rnacentral:misc_RNA from 1 species
UCAAACUUGGUCAUUUAGAGGAAGUAAAAGUCGUAACAAGGUUUCCGUAGGUGAACCUGCGGAAGGAUCAUUAUUGAAUAAACUUGUGUGGGUUGUCGCUGACCUCCUUGGAGGUAUGUGCACACCUGCCAUUGUUUCAUUCAUCCCUUCCACCUGUGCACUUUCUGUAGAUCCAUGCUCAUCACCUUUCAGGUGCUCGUUGUGGCCCUGGUAUGAGGACCUGCCCUGGCUGACCUUGGAUGGUGUGUGAUCUAUGUCUUUAUCAACUCUAAUUGUAUGUCAUCGAAUGUUUGCUUGGGUUCUCUUUGUAGACCCAUAAAAUAUAUAUACAACUUUCAACAACGGAUCUCUUGGCUCUCGCAUCGAUGAAGAACGCAGC